GAUAAUCCUAAUCGGCCAUAUAAUUUACCCUCUUAAAUAAAAAAAGGCUACACUGACCUAGUCGUCUCUCUCUCUCAUCCUCCUGAUGAACUCAAAUAGCUUUGACAUCUCGCUACCUCACCUCCUCCCUCACAAUCUCGGUGGGGGCAGUGGCGUCGCCUUUGCCAUCAUCGCCGCCCUUCCUUUAUUAUCUUCUCCUCCCCUCAAUCUUUCCCUCAACGACAAUAGAUAUCGAACUACGGCUGUAGAGGCAGUGGCCGCCAUCUCUCCCCCAUCUCCCUCUCAACGGCGGCGACGACCGUCGCCCGCCCUUCACUCCCUUCCCAACGAGGGCCGCGACCACGGAGGAGCAGCGACAAUGGAGCGUCGUCGCCUCCACUCUCCCUUACUACGACAGCGGCGACGACGCUCUGUAGGAUAGAGUUAUACACCCCUCUUCUCUUCUAUUCGUUCAUACUUUUGGUUCUAAAAACUAGAUCUGGGCUUGCACACCGUCGGAAGAUGCCUCCAGGGAGUACUCCGUUAACAUGCAAGCCCCGAUCCGUAAAGCUUUUUUUGUUUAUAUUACUUUCAGCUACUUUUUUGUUUGGUUUUUGUGUUGGGUACUGGCGAGGGGAAACAUGGGAAUUUCGUCGUCAAAAGCGCGGCCGCCGGCCGAAGAGGUGAUGGACAGAGAGAUGGGGAGCUGGGUAAAAAAACUCUGGUCUCUAUCUUAGUUAAUUUUUACUUUACAAAUGAAAGAAAAGAACUGAUUGUUUAGAGUUUAUUUCAGGUGAAUGAAAAAGACAAAUUCGACUUACUCGAGAAAAUCAAUAAAAGAGUGAAGAAGAGGGAAGACUCCCUUUGGAAGGUAAAAAAAAAUCUUAAACUAGUUUGAUUUUUUUGACAGAAAGCUGUUUUGUCGUUGAUUAGGUUGCUUAAUAUAUGAAAAUUUGACUGUUUGUUUAUUGAAACUAAAUAAGUAAUCUAAAUGCUAUGAAAAUGACUCGAUGUUUAAAAAAUUUAAUCAUUUUAUGAUUUUUAAUAAAAUUCCAGCAACAAUAUUUAAUAUAAAACCCCUGUUUUGUUUGAUUUUGGUAUUAUAUUACUAGUUUCAUAGUUCUUUGAGUUUUUUGUGUAAAUAGUAUAAAAAUGAUGAUAGAUGGUCAUUUGUUCUUUUGUUAAUUUGUUUUUCAGCAAUUUUUAUUUGAUUUAAGAAGUUUAUUUUACUCAUUAAUUCAUUAUUUGCUAAAAUGAAUCAUUUAUCCACUUAGUUGUAAUGAUUAUGAGAUUUAGAAGUAGCUUAAAUGGUGAGAGGCGAUAUAGCAGAAUAAGCCAUUAAUACGAAGUUUUUUGUCAUUUUUCAGGUGGCGGCAACCUAUCCUUGUUUCUUAACUUCUGGGACGUCUAGACUUCCUCCAUUGCCAGCUCCUUCAUAAGUGACGAUAUAAGUCAGAGAUCUUGUGAUUUAUUUUUUGGGAUUUUGUAGAUGGAGAAUGUUUAUAUUUUUGGGGGGAUUUGAGGGGAGAGUUGGGGGAGUGUUCUGGGAACUCUAAGUUUUUCUCUGUAAAAUAAAUUGCCCCUCUGUGGUCUCAGGGAAGGUUUAUUUAUAUUAACAAAAUGGUUGUUGCUCCAUUAAUUACCAAUCUGAUUUUAACACCAAAUUCUGAUACAAAAGGG
rnacentral:lncRNA from 1 species